GGAUCCAGACUUUGAUUAUGGCUCAGGAUGAACGCUAGCUACAGGCUUAACACAUGCAAGUCGAGGGGAAACGACAUCGAAAGCUUGCCUUUGAUGGGCGUCGACCGGCGCACGGGUGAGUAACGCGUAUCCAACCUGCCCAUCACUUGGGGAUAACCUUGCGAAAGUAAGACUAAUACCCAAUGAUAUCUCUAAAAGACAUCUGAAGGAGAUUAAAGAUUUAUCGGUGAUGGAUGGGGAUGCGUCUGAUUAGCUUGUUGGCGGGGUAACGGCCCACCAAGGCGACGAUCAGUAGGGGUUCUGAGAGGAAGGUCCCCCACAUUGGAACUGAGACACGGUCCAAACUCCUACGGGAGGCAGCAGUGAGGAAUAUUGGUCAAUGGGCGAGAGCCUGAACCAGCCAAGUAGCGUGCAGGAUGACGGCCCUAUGGGUUGUAAACUGCUUUUAUAAGGGAAUAAAGUGAGUCUCGUGAGACUUUUUGCAUGUACCUUAUGAAUAAGGACCGGCUAAUUCCGUGCCAGCAGCCGCGGUAAUACGGAAGGUCCGGGCGUUAUCCGGAUUUAUUGGGUUUAAAGGGAGCGUAGGCCGGAGAUUAAGCGUGUUGUGAAAUGUAGACGCUCAACGUCUGCACUGCAGCGCGAACUGGUUUCCUUGAGUACGCACAAAGUGGGCGGAAUUCGUGGUGUAGCGGUGAAAUGCUUAGAUAUCACGAAGAACUCCGAUUGCGAAGGCAGCUCACUGGAGCGCAACUGACGCUGAAGCUCGAAAGUGCGGGUAUCGAACAGGAUUAGAUACCCUGGUAGUCCGCACGGUAAACGAUGGAAGCCCGCUGUUGGUCUGAAUAGGUCAGCGGCCAAGCGAAAGCAUUAAGCAUCCCACCUGGGGAGUACGCCGGCAACGGUGCAACUCAAAUGAAUUGACGG
rnacentral:rRNA from 1 species